UAUUUAAUUGCAAAUAGAGUUCUAUAUAUAGAUGGCAUGUUAUACAUAGCAUGCUUACACGCGUUGAAAUACUUGACAUCUCUUCUUGUGGAAACUGACCAUUAUAGAUACUACAUAACCUUACGGAUUGAGGACUAUUGCUACUCCGAUAGCCGCGCCCUUCGGAUGAUAGGUCGUCGAAAGUGCUAGAAGUUUAUGUAGAGAGUCUCACCGUCAGGACUGAAUCUGUUCUCAAAUCAAGAAAAGAAAUCCCUAGUCUUCGUGUUCCUUUUAUACCAUGGUCUACUCUGUAGCCUUCUGUCCGACUUUGGCCACUGCCGUAUUGUUCACCGCACACGGUAACAGGCUUUGUACCCGCUGCAGACACUGC